rnacentral:rRNA from 1 species
GUCGACCGGCGCACGGGUGAGUAACGCGUAUCCAACCUUCCCAUUACUGUGGGAUAACCUGCCGAAAGGCAGACUAAUACCGCAUAGUCUUCGAUGACGGCAUCAGAUUUGAAGUAAAGAUUUAUCGGUAAUGGAUGGGGAUGCGUCUAAUUAGCUUGUUGGCGGGGUAACGGCCCACCAAGGCGACGAUCAGUAGGGGUUCUGAGAGGAAGGUCCCCCACAUUGGAACUGAGACACGGUCCAAACUCCUACGGGAGGCAGCAGGA